rnacentral:rRNA from 1 species
AUGCCCAGCCCGCCCAAGGACCGCCCCGCCGGCCGCCUCGGCCGCCUCAUCUCCGCGCUCCGCCCCGCGCGCGCCGGCCCCCUCCCCGUCCAGACCGGCUUCCCCACCUCCCUCGCCGACCUCUUCGUCAAGAACCAUGGCCGCCUCAAGAAGCAGGGCCCCUCCUCCGGCAGGCGCAAGAGGCGCGGCGCCCCCCCUUUGCCUUCCUCCGAGCCCUCUCCCCCGCCUCCCUCUCCUCCACCCCCGCCGGCCGCCGUCUGCCCGCCGUCGGCCCAGCCAAGGCCCGACCUUCCGCGGGCGGAGCCCGUCCGCCGCCCCGGAGGCGGGGCCGCCGGCCUCGGAUUGGGGUUCCUCGCGCUCGUCGGCGUGGCGUCCCUCGCCCUCCUCGUGAUCUGGAGCAGGAAGGUGGUUGCGGCCGUCACCGUCGCCGCCUUCUCGCUCUUCCUGCUGGAAUCCGUCAGGGCGUCCUCGCUUCGCCGGCGGCCCCGGCCCCCGGCGCCCACCGCGGAGCUGGAUAUCGACGACGGCCGCGGCUACGUCUCGCCGAUCCGGGAGCUGGCGGGGGAGCCGGAGCCGCUGGGAUCGAGCUUCUCCGACUCCGGCAGGGGGAUCAGCGCCUCCAUCCUCGGCAUUGACGAGAGGAGCGAGGCCGGCGAGGAUUCGUGCGUCUGGGAGCCGAAGCCGAGGAAGAGGUCGCCUUGGAGGAAGCUGAUCCCCAGGAAAUUGCAGAGAGGCCGGAAGAUUGGCAAGGAGUCCGGCUCCCUGUCAAGUUCUUUCCGGUCAAGCUCUUUCCGCAGCGAGGUCAGCGUAGCGGACUCCACGCUCGGCGACAAUGCCGGGGCGACGGAUCCCCCGGACUCUCGCCGCGGCAGACGCAGCCAAGCGAACGCCAAGGCGGAGGCCGCUGCCAUCGGAUCGCGGGACUCAUCGGGCCCUCUCCGCCUUGGCAUGCUUGACGGCAUCAAAUCGCGCGACUCAUCGGGCCCUCUCCGCGGCAUGGGUGACGGCGCGGACGCCGCCACCAAAUCGCCGGAUUCGUCGUGUCCUCUCCGCGACACGGGCAACGGCGGUGCGCGUGCGCCGAUGGGAAUCGCCGGGGCGGACGGCGUAGGGGGAGGGGGAGGCCAGUUCCCCUUGGUAGCUGUGACCGUGGUCGUCCUCGUCGGCCUGGCCGCCGGGAGGGUCCCGGCCGUGGCGCUCACCGUGCUUUGGUCCGCGCUGGUUGGCUGGCUUCAGAGAUUGCGGCGGGACGGCGAUGGAUGUACGCACGUAGGAACCUCCCGAUCCCUCCCAGGGUUGAUGCAAGUAAAUUAG